rnacentral:rRNA from 1 species
CCCCGUACACAAAAAUGCACAUGCUGUGAGCUCGAUGAGUAGGGCGGGACACGUGGUAUCCUGUCUGAAUAUGGGGGGACCAUCCUCCAAGGCUAAAUACUCCUGACUGACCGAUAGUGAACCAGUACCGUGAGGGAAAGGCGAAAAGAACCCCGGCGAGGGGAGUGAAAAAGAACCUGAAACCGUGUACGUACAAGCAGUGGGAGCACGCUUAGGCGUGUGACUGCGUACCUUUUGUAUAAUGGGUCAGCGACUUAUAUUCUGUAGCAAGGUUAACCGAAUAGGGGAGCCGAAGGGAAACCGAGUCUUAACUGGGCGUUAAGUUGCAGGGUAUAGACCCGAAACCCGGUGAUCUAGCCAUGGGCAGGUUGAAGGUUGGGUAACACUAACUGGAGGACCGAACCGACUAAUGUUGAAAAAUUAGCGGAUGACUUGUGGCUGGGGGUGAAAGGCCAAUCAAACCGGGAGAUAGCUGGUUCUCCCCGAAAGCUAUUUAGGUAGCGCCUCGUGAAUUCAUCUCCGGGGGUAGAGCACUGUUUCGGCAAGGGGGUCAUCCCGACUUACCAACCCGAUGCAAACUGCGAAUACCGGAGAAUGUUAUCACGGGAGACACACGGCGGGUGCUAACGUCCGUCGUGAAGAGGGAAACAACCCAGACCGCCAGCUAAGGUCCCAAAGUCAUGGUUAAGUGGGAAACGAUGUGGGAAGGCCCAGACAGCCAGGAUGUUGGCUUAGAAGCAGCCAUCAUUUAAAGAAAGCGUAAUAGCUCACUGGUCGAGUCGGCCUGCGCGGAAGAUGUAACGGGGCUAAACCAUGCACCGAAGCUGCGGCAGCGACGCUGAUGCGUUGUUGGGUAGGGGAGCGUUCUGUAAGCCUGCGAAGGUGUGCUGUGAGGCAUGCUGGAGGUAUCAGAAGUGCGAAUGCUGACAUAAGUAACGAUAAAGCGGGUGAAAAGCCCGCUCGCCGGAAGACCAAGGGUUCCUGUCCAACGUUAAUCGGGGCAGGGUGAGUCGACCCCUAAGGCGAGGCCGAAAGGCGUAGUCGAUGGGAAACAGGUUAAUAUUCCUGUACUUGGUGUUACUGCGAAGGGGGGACGGAGAAGGCUAUGUUGGCCGGGCGACGGUUGUCCCGGUUUAAGCGUGUAGGCUGGUUUUCCAGGCAAAUCCGGAAAAUCAAGGCUGAGGCGUGAUGACGAGGCACUACGGUGCUGAAGCAACAAAUGCCCUGCUUCCAGGAAAAGCCUCUAAGCAUCAGGUAACAUCAAAUCGUACCCCAAACCGACACAGGUGGUCAGGUAGAGAAUACCAAGGCGCUUGAGAGAACUCGGGUGAAGGAACUAGGCAAAAUGGUGCCGUAACUUCGGGAGAAGG